rnacentral:rRNA from 1 species
AGAGUUUGAUCCUGGCUCAGGACGAACGCUGGCGGCGUGCCUAAUACAUGCAAGUCGAACGAAACUUUCUUACACCGAAUGCUUGCAUUCACCGUAAGAAGUUGAGUGGCGGACGGGUGAGUAACACGUGGGUAACCUGCCUAAAAGAAGGGGAUAACACUUGGAAACAGGUGCUAAUACCGUAUAUCUCUAAGGAUCGCAUGAUCCUUAGAUGAAAGAUGGUUCUGCUAUCGCUUUUAGAUGGACCCGCGGCGUAUUAACUAGUUGGUGGGGUAACGGCCUACCAAGGUGAUGAUACGUAGCCGAACUGAGAGGUUGAUCGGCCACAUUGGGACUGAGACACGGCCCAAACUCCUACGGGAGGCAGCAGUAGGGAAUCUUCCACAAUGGACGCAAGUCUGAUGGAGCAACGCCGCGUGAGUGAAGAAGGUCUUCGGAUCGUAAAACUCUGUUGUUAGAGAAGAACACGAGUGAGAGUAACUGUUCAUUCGAUGACGGUAUCUAACCAGCAAGUCACGGCUAACUACGUGCCAGCAGCCGCGGUAAUACGUAGGUGGCAAGCGUUAUCCGGAUUUAUUGGGCGUAAAGCGAGCGCAGGCGGUUUGAUAAGUCUGAUGUGAAAGCCUUUGGCUUAACCAAAGAAGUGCAUCGGAAACUGUCAGACUUGAGUGCAGAAGAGGACAGUGGAACUCCAUGUGUAGCGGUGGAAUGCGUAGAUAUAUGGAAGAACACCAGUGGCGAAGGCGGCUGUCUGGUCUGCAACUGACGCUGAGGCUCGAAAGCAUGGGUAGCGAACAGGAUUAGAUACCCUGGUAGUCCAUGCCGUAAACGAUGAGUGCUAGGUGUUGGAGGGUUUCCGCCCUUCAGUGCCGCAGCUAACGCAUUAAGCACUCCGCCUGGGGAGUACGACCGCAAGGUUGAAACUCAAAGGAAUUGACGGGGGCCCGCAC